rnacentral:rRNA from 1 species
GUUAAAAAGCUCGUAGUUGGAUUUCUGUUGAGGGCGACCGGUGUACACCUCGUGUAUUAUUUGGUUCGGUCUCGGCAUCCUCUUGGGGAACGUUUCUGGACUUUAUUGGACAGGGCGAGAUUCAAGACUUCUACUUUGAGGAAAUUAGAGUGUUCACUGCAAGCGUUAGCAAUUGAAUACAUUAGCAUGGAAUAAUAAUAUAGGACCUUGGUACUAUUUUGUUGGUUUCUAGAACUAAGGUAAUGAUUAAUAGGGACAAUUGGGGGCAUUCGUAUUAACGCGUCAGAGGUGGAAUUCUUAGAUUGCGUUACGACGAACUACUGCGAAAGCAUUUGCCAAGGAUGUUUUCAUUGAUCAAGAACGAAAGUAUGGGGAUCGAAGACGCUUAGAUACCGUCGUAGUCUAUACCAUAAACUAUGCCAACUAGAGAUUGGAGGUCGUUCUCUUUAUGACCUCCUUCGCCCCUU